GACGAACGCUGGCGGCGUGCUUAACACAUGCAAGUCGAACGGAAAGGCCCUGCUUUUGUGGGGUGCUCGAGUGGCGAACGGGUGAGUAACACGUGAGUAACCUGCCCUUGACUUUGGGAUAACUUCAGGAAACUGGGGCUAAUACCGGAUAGGAGCUCCUGCUGCAUGGUGGGGGUUGGAAAGUUUCGGCGGUUGGGGAUGGACUCGCGGCUUAUCAGCUUGUUGGUGGGGUAGUGGCUUACCAAGGCUUUGACGGGUAGCCGGCCUGAGAGGGUGACCGGCCACAUUGGGACUGAGAUACGGCCCAGACUCCUAAGGGAGGCAGCAGUGGGGAAUAUUGCACAAUGGGCGGAAGCCUGAUGCAACAACGCCGCGUGCGGGAUGACGGCCUUCGGGUUGUAAACCGCUUUCGCCUGUGACGAAGCGUGAGUGACGGUAAUGGGUAAAGAAGCACCGGCUAACUACGUG
rnacentral:rRNA from 1 species